rnacentral:rRNA from 1 species
AACGAACGCUGGCGGCAUGCCUAACACAUGCAAGUCGAACGAGACCUUCGGGUCUAGUGGCGCACGGGUGCGUAACGCGUGGGAACCUGCCCUUAGGUUCGGAAUAACUCCCCGAAAGGGGUGCUAAUACCGGAUAAUGUCUUCGGACCAAAGAUUUAUCGCCUUUGGUUGGGCCCGCGUUGGAUUAGCUAGUUGGUAGGGUAAAAGCCUACCAAGGCGACGAUCCAUAGCUGGUCUGAGAGGAUGAUCCGCCACACUGGGACUGAGACACGGCCCAGACUCCUACGGGAGGGAGCAGUGGGGAAUAUUGGACAAUGGGCGAAAGCCUGAUCCAGCAAUGCCGCGUGAGUGAUGAAGGCCUUAGGGUUGUAAAGCUCUUUUACCCGGGAUGAUAAUGACAGUACCGGGAGAAUAAGCUCCGGCUAACUCCGUG